rnacentral:rRNA from 1 species
AACGAACGCUGGCGGCGUGUUUAAGACAUGCAAGUCGCACGGGACUAUUUGAGUAGCAAUACAAGAAUAGUCUAGUGGCGCACGGGUGAGUAACACGUGAAUUACAUGCCCUGCAGAGGGGGAUAGCCCAGGGAAACUUGGAUUAAUACCCCAUGGUAUCGCGAGAUUAAAGGUGGCCGCAAGGCUGUCGCUGCAGGAUUGGUUCGCGCCCUAUCAGCUUGUUGGUGAGGUAACGGCUCACCAAGGCUACGACGGGUACCUGGUCUGAGAGGACGAUCAGGCACACUGGAACUGAGACACGGUCCAGACACCUACGGGUGGCAGCAGUCGAGAAUAAUUCACCAUGGGGGCAACCCUGAUGGUGCAACGCCGCGUGGAGGAUGAAGGUCUUCGGAUUGUAAACUCCUGUCAUCCGGGAGUAAGACCUGGCGAUGAAUAGUCGACAGGGUUGAUAGUACCGGAAGAGGAAGGGACGGCUAACUUCGUGCCAGCCGCCGCAGUAA